CGGGCUCCUGGGGAAACUCCAAUCCGCCCUCUCCAAGCUGCCGGUGGCCUCCGGGCACUUCGUGGAGCUGGAUCUGCAGAAUUCCCCGUUCCCGAGCGUCUUCAUCGAUUGGCUCCUGCAGACCACAGGCCUGGAUCCCGGGACCGUGCCCUAGGCGUGGGGUGGCAGCGCCGUGGGGUGCCCCCGUGGGCAGUUCCCACCGAGGAGGAGGAGGAAGAGGAGGGAAGGGAGGAAGAUGACUCAAUGACCAGAAAAUAGACAUCAAAAUGGAGAAACCCAGCCCAGAAAAUGCACAAAUUCUGUGUUACAUUUCAGCCUUGCCAGACUUGGGGGUCUCUGCCCAGCCCAGGGGCAGCUGUGCUGAUGGUUAACUGUGUCCAUGGC